UCCUCGUGUACCGGGGACUUAUGAACAUGGAUGGGUCCCCC
rnacentral:sRNA from 1 species